rnacentral:rRNA from 1 species
GAUGAACGCUGGCGGCGUGCCUAAUACAUGCAAGUCGAGCGAACAGACGAGGAGCUUGCUCCUCUGACGUUAGCGGCGGACGGGUGAGUAACACGUGGAUAACCUACCUAUAAGACUGGGAUAACUUCGGGAAACCGGAGCUAAUACCGGAUAAUAUAUUGAACCGCAUGGUUCAAUAGUGAAAGACGGUUUUGCUGUCACUUAUAGAUGGAUCCGCGCCGCAUUAGCUAGUUGGUAAGGUAACGGCUUACCAAGGCAACGAUGCGUAGCCGACCUGAGAGGGUGAUCGGCCACAGUGGAACUGAGACACGGUCCAGACUCCUACGGGAGGCAGCAGUAGGGAAUCUUCCGCAAUGGGCGAAAGCCUGACGGAGCAACGCCGCGUGAGUGAUGAAGGUCUUCGGAUCGUAAAACUCUGUUAUUAGGGAAGAACAAAUGUGUAAGUAACUAUGCACGUCUUGACGGUACCGAAUCAGAAAGCCACGGCUAACUACGU